rnacentral:lncRNA from 1 species
ACCAGGCUAAUUUUUGUGUUUCACUAGAGACAGGAUUUCACCAUGUUGCCCACGCUGGUCUCGAACUCUUUGCCUCAAGAGAUCCACCCACCUCGGCCUCCCAAAGUGCUGGGAUUACAGACGUGUGCCACUGGACCCAGCCUCCUUUGCCAGUCUUAAUACUAAGUUAUUUUAUUAUUUUGGGAGAAUUGCUACAUCGAAUAUCAGCCCUUUGUCAUAUGUUUCGAGUAUUUUUCUGAAUUUGUACCUUGUCUUUGAUUUUUUUUCUUUUUUGAGACAGGGUCUUGCUCUGUCCUCCAGGCUGGAGUGCAGUGGCGGGAUCACAGCUCACUGCAGCCUCGACCUCCCGGCCUCAAGUGAUCCUCCCACCUCAGCCUGAGUAGCUGGCAUCACGCCCAGCUAAUUUUAUUUUUUGUAGAGAUGGGGGUCGCACCAUGCUGGCCAGGCUGGUCUCUAACUCCCGAGCUCAAGCCAUCCUCCCGCCUCGGUCUUCCAAAGUGCUGAGAUUGCAGGCGUGAGACACCGUGCCCAGCCGUCUUUAAUAUUUUUCACCAGGCGGAUA